rnacentral:rRNA from 1 species
GAGGAAUAUUGGGCAAUGGGCGCAAGCCUGACCCAGCCAUGCCGCGUGAAGGAUGAAUGCCCUAUGGGUUGUAAACUUCUUUUGUACGGGACGAAUCUCUCGAACGUGUUCGGGACUGACUGUACCGUGCGAAUAAGCAUCGGCUAACUCCGUGCCAGCAGCCGCGGUAAUACGGAGGAUGCAAGCGUUAUCCGGAUUCAUUGGGGUUAAAGGGUGCGUAGGCGGAAGAAUAAGUCAGUGGUGAAAGCCUGCGGCUUAACCGUAGAAUUGCCAUUGAUACUGUUUUUCUUGAGUAUAGUUGAAGUGGGCGGAAUGUGUAAUGUAGCGGUGAAAUGCUUAGAUAUUACACAGAACACCAAUUGCGAAGGCAGCUCACUAAGCUGUUACUGACGCUGAGGCACGAAAGCGUGGGGAGCAAAC